rnacentral:rRNA from 1 species
UUUGAAUGUUAAUUUUAUUACUAGAGUAGUAUUAGUUAUGAUCUUUAAACUUAAAGAAUUUGGCGGUAUUAUAGUCCUUUUAGAGGAAUCUGUCCCUUUAUCGAUAGUCCCCGUUGAACCUUACUAGUUAGUUGUUUGUAUACCGCCGUUAAUUUGAAUAUUCUUGUAGGAAUUUUCUUGUCUUAUUUCAUGGUAUCUUAUUUCAGGUCAAGGUGCAGCUUAUUAAUUAGUGGAGAUGGAUUACAGUUUAUUAUACUAUUGGAUUACUAAUUGAAAGUCUUUAGUAUUAAAUUGGAUUUAAUAGUAAUGUUAUAAAGAUUAUUAACAUGAUUUUGGCUCUAUAAUAUGU